UUUAAGUAUUAUAAUUUAAAGUCUAAUCUGCCCAGUGAAAUUUUUAAAUGGCUGCGGUAUUUUGACCGUACAAAGGUAGCGUGAUAAUUAGUUUUUUAAUUGGAAACUGGUAUGAAUGAUUGGACGAGAAAAAUUCUGUUUCAAUAAAAUUUUAUUUGAAUUUUAUUUUUAAGUGAAAAAGCUUAAAUUUUCUUAAAGGACGAGAAGACCCUAUAGAGUUUAAAAUUUUAUUUUAAUAUAAAAUAAAGGUAUAAAAGAUUUGUAGGGUAAGAUUUUUGGUUGGGGUGACUGUAAGAUUUAAUAAACUCUUUUUUAUUAUACAAUGAUUUUUGGCACAAUUUCGAUCCAUUGAUUUUGAUUAUAAGAUUAAACUUACCUUCAGGGAUAGACACGCGUAAUUUUUUCUAAAAGUUCUUAUUAACUUAUAAAGAUUGCGACCUCGAUGUUGGAUUAAAAUUUAUUUUAGGUGUGAGAAGAC
rnacentral:rRNA from 1 species